rnacentral:rRNA from 1 species
UACGUAGGGUGCGAGCGUUAAUCGGAAUUACUGGGCGUAAAGCGUGCGCAGGCGGUUUUGUAAGCCAGAUGUGAAAUCCCCGGGCUCAACCUGGGAAUGGCAUUUGGGACUGCAAGGCUGGAGUUUGGCAGAGGAGACUGGAAUUCCUGGUGUAGCAGUGAAAUGCGUAGAUAUCAGGAGGAAUACCGAUGGCGAAGGCAGGUCUCUGGGCCGAUACUGACGCUGAGGAGCGAAAGCGUGGGGAGCGAACAGG